ACUCCUACGGGAGGCAGCAGUGGGGAAUAUUGCACAAUGGGGGAAACCCUGAUGCAGCCAUGCCGCGUGUGUGAAGAAGGCCUUCGGGUUGUAAAGCACUUUCAGUAGGGAGGAAGGUAGUGUAGUUAACACCUGCAUUAUUUGACGUUACCUACAGAAGAAGCACCGGCUAACUCCGUGCCAGCAGCCGCGGUAAUACGGAGGGUGCGAGCGUUAAUCGGAAUUACUGGGCGUAAAGCGCAUGCAGGCGGCCUGUUAAGUCAGAUGUGAAAGCCCGGGGCUUAACCUCGGAAUUGCAUUUGAAACUGGCAGGCUAGAGUCUUGUAGAGGGGGGUAGAAUUUCAGGUGUAGCGGUGAAAUGCGUAGAGAUCUGAAGGAAUACCAGUGGCGAAGGCGGCCCCCUGGACAAAAGACUGACGCUCAGAUGCGAAAGCGUGGGGAGCAAACAGGAUUAGAUACCCUGGUAGGAUAGCG
rnacentral:rRNA from 1 species